GCCCUCGUAGCUCAGCUGGAUAGAGCGUCGGACUUCUAAUCCGUAGGUCGCAGGUUCGAGUCCUGCCGGGGGCACCU
rnacentral:tRNA from 1 species